AUUUUGACUGAGUUAAAACGCGGCUAGCUCUUUCACAGAAAAGGAAUUAUCAAAACGGAAAUGAGGGAGCCGAGCAGGUUGGGGAAAAGGAAGUUCUCGCUUCAACUUCAUCUUAAAGGUAAACUAGAGGAGGCCUUUUAAUACUUUAACAAACAUGAAACUACCUUAAGCUGACACAUUUGGGCUCUAAAUAAUGUCAUAGUGCGAUGUUAGGGAGUGUAUUGUUUUUAUUGCGCACCUUAUCCUUCAGAGAACGAUGAAAAGUAUCAAAGAAUGAAGGUUUCACUGUGUAAUUUCAGGACAUGUUUAUGCAAAUGUCCACGAGUGUGUUUCCGCGUGUGGCACGUGCGCGCGCCGACUCAUGGAGUCGUUCUGCGGGGAGAAAUGAUAGUCGCAUUAACCCUUCAACUCUUAUUUCAUGGCUGCCUCGUUAAGAAGCUUGUGGAUUUAAUUACCGCUAGUGGAGGCUGGGAAGGUACAAGGCCCCGUGUCGCCGUGUAAUUGGAAGCAUUUCUCUCUACACCCAACUUAACAUUUUCCACCCAUCUCUAAUUGUCGAGUACAAUUCACGCUCAUUAAUAAGGCGAAUUAUGUAAUUUUCAAAACAGGACUCUGCUGUUGGAUGAUGGGGGUGGGGGUGUGUGUGUGGGGGGGUGUUGAGCAAUACACUGAUAAUUCCAUCAGCGGACUCUGUGCCACAUUUAGUACUCUUUUCUUCAAAUAGAAACUACAUGCUGUUAAAUAUAAGGCAAAGCUAUAAUUAAAACCACAUCAGUUUAAAAACGCGUCUUUUGUGCAUACAUAGCUUUGGGGGACUUCUCAGUAGCCAAACAGUCUGUGCAUCCAUACUAUGUUAUAUUGUGGCAUCAAUUUCAAAAUAGCUAUGGUGGAGGACGCGUUGUACACACACCAUGCCCCAUGCAGCUAAAAUUAACUGCAUUUUAGUCAUUGAAUCCUGAUACAGAAGCUGUGUGAAGAUCAACUCAUUUACAAGCUAAAUACUUUUAUCAGAUGUGUAUUAUAACUCAAUUUUGGCUCAGUUUCUCAACUAAUACAGCUGGGCCUAUGCUACUUCACUAAUAUGUGACAGUGGUUGUUAAUAUUUACACUGACAUUGAACAGCACUCUGCCCGUCCAAACCCAACCCAGAAAAAUUCUACUAUUAAUACAAAAAAUUAAACAGAUUCAGAAAAGGUUGAUUUAAAAAAAUCUGAAUGAGUUGCAGUCAUCUAAAAAUAUUUGACCUUUCUAUGAAAGGCCUCAGAAUUUAAAUUGGUUUGACUAUUUUAAUAUGUUGGACAUCUGCUCUGAGGCUACUGUAUGACUGGUCUUCAUUAAUUAACUCCACCCCUUCUGUCCUUAUCGGUUCCCUUCGCUUUUUAUUCAUUUGCCUACUCUCUCUUUUCUUCCUGCCCUCGGUGCAUACCAGGUAUCAGAGCUAUGUGGCUUUGUCAGUUUGCUCACAUGGUCAUAUCUUCUCCCUCUCUUGUUUAAUCACCAUUCAAUAACCCCGCGACGACUGUGUGAAUGGCAACAUUUAAUGGGCUACACUUCAUUUGCUCUUUUAAAAUUGGCCCAGGUUGAUGGCAAACAACAACGACAGGCAGCAGCUGGAAUAGAGAAAUCACACACGGUGACAGUCACGGUGAGGCGAGGGGCCGAAUACCGCUGCUGCAAAUGAAGUCCUCAGCCACAAGACUCCAUUAAAAAGUCGCAACGUGAUACCAAUCUGCAACUUUAUUAUUGCCAGGGCCCACUCCUCCCCCCACGCCAGCGCCGUAGCCGCCGCAGUACUCCAUCCUGCAUUAUCAGAAAACACAGUCAUUAAAAAGCAUUUGACCUUUUUGUAGCGAGUAGCGAGAAAUUACCUUUCCUGUUUGGUUCCCCCUUCCUCCCCCCUCCCACCUUGUUCGGCGAAUAAAUCACUUCACUGCAAAUUGUAAUGCAACUCCUCCUUCGCUCUGAGUGGCGUUAUAGGUCCGCUAUGCUUCUCUGGCGCCGGAGGAGAUACCGCCAUAAUUAAAUGUUACAUCUGCCAAUUGUUUCACAGGGACAAUGAGGAGGGAUGGGGCAGCUGGAGAGCAGAGGAAGAGAGGAUUGUGGGGGGUGUGGGGUGUUAGGAAGUGGUGGGGGAGACAAGUGGAGGUGAGACAGUGCUCCAGGGUUGGAGCGUUUGAAGAGAAGAUUGCAGAGGCCAGCCAAGGAAAAGAGAGGAGGAGAAAGGGAGUAGACAGGUAAUAGAAAGAGAGGUUGGAGCAGAGACAGACGGAUAGAAAAAAAAGAAGCUCUUGGCCUCACAUUGAGCAUCUCAGUGUCAUCAUCCGAGUCUGUAUUGAUCUGAUGUGUGUGUGAACGUCUCCUUGUGUGAGUGUGUGCGAGCAAGAUGGAUGGAUGAAGUCUUAGAAGUGUAACAGCGUAUCCUAACACUUUGAAAUCCUCUGCUCAGACAGCGUCUAUCUCUGAUAUCUCGGCCUGGCUGCUUUUCACUGACACCCUGAACCAAUCGGCUCACAUGGUGGAAAACAACCAAAGUGCCUGUGGCUCAUGUGGGUGUGAUAAUGAAUAUUUAUUGUCUCGUGAUGCAUCUCAUCAUACACCUCAGCAUCCACUCGCACACACAUUUAGGCCUUAUACCCACGCCCACCACCCAUGCGAACACAGCUCCUCCCCAUGUCUACAGAGCGAGCCUUUGUUUACCCCCAUUGAAAUGAAAACUGCCACGGGAGUUGCUCUAGUUGUUACAUAUCACCCUGUGAGCAAUUAGCAAACUGCACAGGGGGCAGAGGGAAAACAUACACUGUCACAUGAUGUUUUGAUGACCCCUAUGUGUUUGAUUUCAGGAGAGUGCAAGCGCAUGUAUUUCUGUUGGUGCAUGCUGUUUAUCUUAAUCUAGUAUUCCACUUUUUGUAGCCAAGGAGGUCUAGUCAAAAACACAAGAAGGAGCACAGAUGCAGAAAAGAAAACAAAGACCCGCUUCAUAGUGACUCUGUUUUUAAUUUUUUUCAUUAAAGCAUGUGAUUUGUCCAAAAAUACAGGGAUAUAGACCAUGAAAAGAGAAGUUUGUUUUAAAACGGUAUUAUUAAAUUUACUUCCUCUGGCCAAGCUGAAGACUAUGGUGAUAAAAUUGCAAUGUGACACUUGAAGUUUUUAGUUACUGUGUGACUGCAACAUGCAGCAGUGAUCCAAAACUCCAGUGAGACAGUUCAUAUAGCAAUACAGAAGCACUAUCCCCCUGCAGCCCCAGGCUACUGUUACAUUAACCUAAGCUGUGCCAUGGAAGCAAAUCAACAAGGGGAUAAGGAAUGGUUAAAUGGAGGGGUUAUGUUGAAUAAACCCUUCCCAAUGUGCUGCAGGGUGGAGAUGCAUUUCCAUAACUGAGAUAAAUUGGAUUUAACGGCGAAUCAUAGACAACAAUAGUAAAGGACGCUUAGGGCUGGUGUCUGUCCCACCCUACAGCGGGGAUAUACAGGACCUCUGUGUGUGUUCCCGUGCCCCCGUGCCAAAACGGUCUCGUUCUGGUUAAGGUAUGAAAUCGCUCUGACCAUAAGCACCUUCUCUUUUCAGCCGUGACCUGUUAUCCUUUUAGUUGAAGAGAGUCAAGGGAGGCCUUGUUUUACCCUGCAGGCAGAUGCCAGCACAGGCGCAAUUUAAACAAGCUUCACCAGGCCGACUGAAAGCUGUAAGGAGCAUCUACUUGUUACACCUGCUACUCAAGACUACAGGAGACCAAGAAGAGUCAGUUGGCUAUGAUCCACUAUGUACGUCUUUGAUUAAUCGGUUUUGUUGCUUAAACAGGGCAAAGUUAAUUCAAAUCCAGUUAAAAUAAAAAGAUAAGUUGUAAAAUAGAACUAUAGUAAAGUCCAACUUUACUCACAGAGGAAUAUCUGGAAGAAACAAUCACAAUUGUCUUUAUUAGUCUGUUAUACAAAGUGUCUUUUUAAUUCCUGUGAACAAAUAAAUGUUCCUCAGCUGCUCAAGUUUGACACAAAUCAACAAAAACUCUAUCAAAAGAAGUCCUAACACUCAAUUUUAGUUGCUAAUUUUAAAAAAGCUGAGAAUACGGAGGAUGAUUACACUACACACACACAGACACACACACACUCACACACACAUACAAAUACACUCACCACCCACUGUCGGUGAUAACAAACAGUGAUUAGCAUGUGAAAAACAACACAGACAGGGUGUAAGCAAGCAGAUGCCUGUCCCCCUAUUAGCCAUGUUGAUUAGCUGACUGUCUAAAUACCUUUGUUUUGGUGGUUGUGUAUCUGUCCAGCUCUUUUUCCCUCUUUCUCUCUCUCUCCCUUUGGACGACACACCCCAGGCCACCCUGUAAAAAUCCUAACUCAUCCUGAAGCCAAUUCCUGUCUCUUUUACCCAGAAAACAAAUACACAAUCAAACAACACUAAGCCAAUUUCUUCCCUUGCUGAAGCGUAUUCACAGACACCCUCGUACACACACAGACACACACACACACACCUCCUCUAAUUUCCUGGGGCCGUGGUACUGGCAGGGAGUGUGUUGUAGCGCCAACUGAGCUCUGUGUUUGGGGUAAUUGCUCUUGCUGCGUUAGUAUGGAAAUCUGCAAAUGUGUGACAGGGCCAGAUAGCUUCCUCCAAUGUUGUUCUGAUCCUGCCUCCAGGCCCGCAGCCAAACUAUUUUAUCUCUUAAUGCAUUAGAGUGAUCUUCCAAUUAGCCCACGCUCAUAAUACUCCCCCAUUCCUGGUGGCUGUGUGCUCAGGGCUGCACAGAGACAGAAAGACAGGGAGGGAAGUGGCGCAUAUUGGAGUGCGUGUGUGUCCACAUAAAGCUUAUGUUCGCAUGAAUGUGAGUGUCCAUGUAUAUGUCUGAAUGUAUACAUGAAGGUAAAUGUGAGCCUUCACAUAAAGGUUUGUGCCAAGAAAAUGUGUACACCUGUGAAAAUGUGUUUCAUUUACAAAAAAACGUGAAGUUAUUUCAAAAAAAGUGUGUCCGUGUGAACGCGUGUUCCGAGGCUUGAUGGGUUUGGGUGGUGGAUGAGGCGGUGGAGGUGGGCUGGGUUGGCAACCGGGGAAAAGUGAAGUGGAGAGGAUGCGGCGUACGCGUGUGUAAGUGUGUACGUGCAUGCAGGCGUGUGAGAGGAGCAAGGCGGGUGGGUGGUGGGUGGUGGUGGUGUGGCGAUAGUUCUGCUUGAGAGGUGAAAUGAGGUGCUUAUUGUGCACGGCGUGGGGGUUGCGCCGUUAGUCCGGGGCUCCUGUUGUAAAGUUUGCUGAUAAGGGGAACCCGGCCCUUGAGCAUCCAUUCUCCUCGGUGUAUUAGCGCUCCCUUAUCAGGGGCCCAGAUAAAAACCGGCAUGCCAUUUGCCUUCGGUGGAAUUAAGCCCUCCUCCUCCUCUUUCUCCUCCUUCUCCACCUCUUCCUCUUCCACCCUCCUCCUCUCUCCUUCCCUUGUCUGCCUUGACUAACCGGGCGGGCUGCGAUUAACCUCGACACUGUCCAAUAUCCUCAGCAGACUCCUGCCCGCAGAUUAGCCGCUAUUAGUUAUGACCAACUAAAUUAACCACUGCCGCUUUCCUGAGAGAGGGAGAAGGAGGGAGCGGGAGAUGGAGGAGAGAAAGAGAGGUGCAUGCAGGGAGAUGGAAUGAGCAUGAGGAGGUUCAUUUAGAAAGGGAGGGACAGAUGGGGAGACUGAUGGAAAGAGGGUGAUAAGUGAGGGAGGGAGGAGGAGAGACAAAGUGUUACAAGCAUUGUGUGUGCGUUCAUACAUGUGUACACUCUGAAGUGGCUCAUUUUGUAUUGUCCUCGCUGGGACAAACAUACUGUACGUUAGACUUUCUCAUGCAAAUGUUGGUCUAGGCUCUCACACGAAUACACAAAUUUGUUUAUUGCCACAAUAAUUUGUCCGGACUAUUUAAUUCACUGUAUGUCAUCUCACUUGACAUCUUCUCAGUGACGUAAAAUCUAUUCAUUGUCUCACUGGGUCGAGCCAGUCGUCAUGAUAACUUUGCCUCUCUCUCUCUUUUUGGUCGUGUCAGUGCUGCUAAAUACACCGUUGAGUAAAAAACAAACACAAAUUUCUACCUGGGUGCAGAGUCACAAACAGACUCGACAGCAUCUCUUUGGUUUAUGAGCCACAGUCUGUACAGCAGGAAAUAUCCGUGCAUUAAUGACAUUUCAGGGUUUGAUUUUUUUUAAUUGCAUUCGACACCUAGUUGGAAAUUAUCAGGGAUUUCAAACAAUAGACUUGAUGAAUGAAAACAAGAAAUACACACACACACACACACACACACACAGGCAGAUGGAGGGUCAUUGUAUUGCUUGAAUAAAUGUCAUGUAAAACAAGUCAAUGAAUGUUUUAAUUAUUGAGAUAACAGAACUUGAAUUACAUUAAGCAAAUUUGAUACAGUGAAGGAACAUUUUUGUUUUUGACAAAUAAGAAUAUGUGCACCAAUAAUUGGAUAUCAAUAAUUAAAUUUCGUUCCCAUACAUAUAAGAAUUUGUGCAUAAAAAGGAAUUUACAAUUUGAAGUCUAUAUUAAACUCUGAUAAAUAUACAAAUUUAAGUAUAAAUUAUAGGGAUUUUAAAUAUUAACAGCUUUGCUUAAAGUAUACACAUCCAUAAAUAUAUAUCUAUAUUUAAAUACAUGAUAAUCUUACAAAAAAAAUCAUUAUUAAUUUUAAACUAUCUGACCACCUUGUUUAAUAUCCUUUGCUCCAUCUCUCUUUUUUCGGUCCUCAGACCGCCCUGCACACUCUUGACAGAGGGUCUCAAGAAACAAUGUGACUGGCACAACACAGAGGUCCUCUCCAUGGUGGGCAUUUUUGUGUGUUUGUCUGUGUGUUUGUGUUGACUUAUGAGAUGGACAAGGUGGCAGGGAGCCAUGGAGCACACACACUGCUUUUCUGUUUGCAGGAGCCUAUCCCUCAUACGUACACACACACAUCCUGACAACUUACAUUCAGUGUCACACCACACCCCGCUAAUUCUUUGCUGAGUGUAUUUAGCCGUCACAUCUGGCUGUAUUGACAGGAGAUGCCAUGGGCCAAAGCAAAGCCACCUGCACAUGGCUGCUGCAGCCCCAGCGCCUACACCGACCGUCUCCCCUCUCCCUGUAUUUGUUUCUCCCUCUUUCACCCUCCUUACUGCCUCUUCUCCUAGCUUACGUGUAUUGGUAUUCAUGUGGCUCUGAAAAGACAUAGCACAAGUGCACAGACAAAUGUACAGAUGUAAAAAUCAAUACUCAGCAGGUUUUUAUCUAUUCAAGGAGCUAAGUGCAGAAUUAAUUAAAGAUCGCAGUAAAAUCAACCAAGUGUUUGCUUUUUACAUUGAGAGUUUGACACUGAUCAUUUUUAUACUUUUGUCAGUUUAUUUAAUCUUUAUUGAUACACAAUUUACCAAACACAAAUUUUUUAAUAAAUCCCCAAGAAACUUGUAUAAGUAUAUAAUAAUCACUUAGAUUUAGAAACCAUAGAAAAUUAUCUUAAAGGCUAUCUAUUCAGUUACUAAGACUGAUUGUUAGGAAAUCAAUUAUUUCUAAAUAUCGUCACCUUCUUAAAAUAAUGGCUUAAGUCAAUGAGCAAGUUUUCAGAAACGUUCCUGAAUACUCUCAGAAAAUGGCCUAACCCACAUCCUUUACAUAGUCCUUAUACUACAAGGGUAGUAUCACAUGAUCUGUUCAAUUGAGGAUUUAGGCAAAUCUACCAGAGAUGGGCAGCAACAUGAGGGACUGAAUAAGUAUUUUUGUUAGAAAAUGACAUAAGCCAUUAUUUUAAGAAGGUGACGAUAUUGUAGUUUGAAUAUUUCACCUUAUUACUAUUCCAUUGAAUUUUAACAAAAUUUUACUAAAUCUCAAGAAUAGCAAAAUGUUAUGUCAUUUUCAUUUGAGAUUUUUUUGUGAUAUAUCUGAUGUACAAAAUACUUUGAAAUUCUACGUUGGCUGUGCAUUGGCGUGUCUGCUUCACAAGAUUGCUCAGUAACUUUAUCCCACUUUGGCCAUCUCUCUUCCUUUUCUACUUUGCUGUCACUCAGAAGCCUCAAGUGUUGGAUAACGCCAUUGAAAGCAGUCGCUGUAAUUUUAAUGGGGAACCAGUGGGCUUUAAAGGACAGGAGAACAUGGCACAGUUGUUGCCCUCCACUGUGUAAAAUGAAAACAGGAGAGUAAAGCCAGUAUAGCCCCCUGCUCUCUCCCCCUCUCCUGCUGCCCCCCGUGUCCACAAUAGGGGGAACCUGUUUAUCUCUAUGUACAAUUAAGAGUGUGAAAUUUGAACAUGCUGAAUUAACUAAAAAAAGACCCACUUUUGUUACAAAGGAAACAAAGCCUCAGGAGAGAAGAGAGGGGAGGAGAGAGAGAGAGGGAGAAAGCAUAGACGGAGGAAAAAAGGAUUUAGCAGUUGUAAGAAAAGACAGCGUGGCUCACAAAAAUCCAGAAUAAUCACAUUUCCACCAAAUAAAUCAGACUGGUUGGCAUGUGGUGCAAACAGACACACAUGGUGAAAGACAUCUGCAAACACAGACACAGGUUUAAAAGCAUCCACAGCAGAGUGCGACAUUUUCUGUGACUUUGCACACUGACUUUUAAUUUUCACUUUCCCGUUCACUCCUACACACAAACUCACACACAGCAGCCUGAAGCUAUAUGACAGCGUGCCAACCUCACCCCGUGUGCUUGUUCAUUCACCCACUGUUUUGGCCUGCUAACAGGCCUCUGGCACAAGCGAUCCAGCCAGACCACCCUGACUGCCCUCCUCCAUCUUCUCCUCUCCGUAAACCAGCGAUCCAGCCAGUCAGGCUCAUUUUGGCUUUACUUAAUGCCACGACGACACCUCACAUCGCCCCACUUCCACCUUAAGAGAAUGAGUAAUCAACAAACUGGGAGCCAUUUGCCGUCUGUCAGUCAAAUCCAACACUCUGCUGUGCUAUCAGUCCUCUGCUUGCACCAAGCCCUCCUUCCCUUCCUUCCUCUCCUCUAAUACCAAUUUAAAUCGUUCAACGCUCCUUUCCUCCCGCUGCCAUUAUUCAAAAAGAUCAUAAUAGUUUUCCCUGUGCCCAAAGCACAAAAAUCAAUUAUUUCCCCACAAAGACUUGAAAGUACUUAGCGCAGGCCUGCGAGGGGAAAAGCUGUGGGUUAUAUCAAAUUGAAACUGCACUCAUUACACAGGCACACAAUUAGUUACCUCUGGUCUGCCUGCUGCUCUUUAAUUUCCGAAACGGCAUAUCUGUAUUAUAACAGAAACAAGCAUGCAAAUGCUAUUGUUGGGGAUUUAGAGAAAUCAAUAGGACGGCUGGCGAGAGGCGUUUGGUGGCGCUGUCACUCAAAAUCUGCUGCCGGCGACUGAUAAAGGUCUGAAUUCAAAUUAGUGCCAAAGCCGGCCAGUGACAUCAGAAGUGACAUCCAAAAUAAAAGGGACGGCUUCAUGAUAUAUGUAAUUAUUCUCCUCGCAUUUGUGCUACAUUUUUUUUUUCUCUCCUCUCUCCCUCCUCUUUCCUCCCCACCCUCAUUCUCUCUUUUUCCUCAUUGUGUAUACUUGUGUAACUGUGUUUUGCAUAAAGGGAUUAGGAGUGCCUUAAUGAGAAACUGUAAUUGUUUUUUCAGCCUCACUCUAUGGAUAUGUUCACGUGUGUGUAUGUGUGUGUUUGCGGGUGUUUGUGAGAGAGACGGAAUGAAAACAUGUCUUGAAUAUGCCUUGUUUAAUGCAAAAUGAAUACAGUAUUGAAAUAAUAUUUUUUUCUCCUCCAUAUCAGAGGACUAUUGCUGUGAAAGCUACGAAGGUCUGGGAGAAAACUAUGUUAUGAAAUACAUUUCCCCACAAUAAUGAGCCGAGAGCUGAUACUGAACAAUGGACAUAACCAGACUCGGCUUCAGUUUGUCUCAGAUACCAAAUUGUUGACAUCUUUUUAUUUUCACUGCUGCCAAACUUUUCUGUUUGGCAGAAAUCCUGAUAAGGUAUAAUAGAUACCCAGCCUGACUGGGCAAACACAUGAAUGAAGCAUUUUUAACACAGGAGAUUAAACACUGGGGAACAUUAAUCAGUGUGUUUUUUUUUUUCUAUCAGUCCAUGUCGACGAUGCUGAGCUGAAAUGAUGGAAUAAGAUCUCUUUUAAUGAACAAACUAAUGUACAAAUGUGACGUUUGCUGUUUUUUUUAACUCAUGUGAUAUCAAUGUCCUUAAUAUUUAUACAUGCAU